rnacentral:lncRNA from 1 species
GCUUCUUCAAAAGAUCUGACGGCCUUCUAAUAGUGUUUGUGCUCGAGGUACUAGAACGAGCCAGGACGUCUUGCCAGCCGUGAAGUACACACUUGAACUGGCUGUGCAGCCUUCAACAUUGAAGAGACACGCUUUCUAGACAACACGGAUUCAAGCCGAAGACCGUGCCUGAGCCGGUACAUUUUCUUCGAAGAACUGCUAUCAGGAAUGUCCUGUCCAUGGAACGUGCUUCCAUUCUACUAAUCACCUGCCAACUUGAGUAUCAAAUUCCAACUAUUCUUCCUUUAAUUUUCCUCCUCCCCAAUCCUUCAAA